rnacentral:rRNA from 1 species
GAGUUUGAUCAUGGCUCAGAACGAACGCUGGCGGCGUGCCUCAUACAUGCAAGUCGAGCGAGAAAGUUCCCUUCGGGGAGCGAGUAAAGCGGCAAACGGGUGAGUAACACGUGGGGAACCCCCCCUCAGGAUGGGGAUAAGCCCUCGAAAGGGGGUCUAAUACCGAAUGAUGUCAUUUGAUCGCAUGGUCGAAUGACCAAAGUAGUAAUACGCCUGAGGACGGCCCCGCGCCCCAUUAGCCUGUUGGUAGGGUAACGGCCUACCAAAGCUACGAUGGGUAGCCGGCCUGAGAGGGUGACCGGCCACACUGGGACUGAGAUACGGCCCAGACUCCUACGGGAGGCAGCAGUAGGGAAUAUUGCGCAAUGGCCCAACGGCUGACGCAGCAACGCCGCGUGGAUGACGAAGCUUUUCGGAGUGUAAAAUCCUUUCAGUGGGGAAGAACGUGUCUUCGGACACCUGACGGUACCCACAGAAGAAGCACCGGCUAACUCCGUGCCAGCAGCCGCGGUAAUACGGGGGGUGCAAGCGUUGUUCGGAUUUACUGGGCGUAAAGCGCACGCAGGCGGGCUGUCAAGUCGGAUGUGAAAACCAGGAGCUCAACUCCUGGCCUGCAUUCGAUACUGAUAGUCUUGAGUACCGGAGAGGAUGGCGGAAUUCCUGGUGUAGCGGUGAAAUGCGUAGAUAUCAGGAAGAACACCGGUGGCGAAGGCGGCCAUCUGGACGGAUACUGACGCUCAGGUGCGAAGGCUAGGGGAGCAAACAGGAUUAGAUACCCUGGUAGUCCUAGCGGUAAACGAUGGGCACUAGGUGUUGGUGGUGUCGACUCCACCAGUGCCGCAGCUAACGCAUUAAGUGCCCCGCCUGGGGAGUACGGCCGCAAGGCUGAAACUCAAAGGAAUUGACGGGGGCCCGCACAAGCGGUGGAGUAUGUGGUUUAAUUCGACGCAACGCGAAGAACCUUACCUGGGUUUGACAUGCAUUGGCAAGCUACAGAGAUGUAGCCCCCUCUUCGGAGGCCUUUGCACAGGUGCUGCAUGGCUGUCGUCAGCUCGUGCCGUGAGGUGUUGGGUUAAGUCCCGCAACGAGCGCAACCCCUGUCCUUAGUUGCCAUCAGGUAAAGCUGGGAACUCUAAGGAGACUGCCGGUGACAAGCCGGAGGAAGGUGGGGAUGACGUCAAGUCCUCAUGGCCCUUACGUCCAGGGCUACACACGUACUACAAUGGCCGGUACAGUAGGCCGCAAUACCGCGAGGUGGAGCUAAUCCUCAAAGCCGGUCUCAGUUCAGAUUGGAGUCUGCAACUCGACUCCAUGAAGGUGGAAUCGCUAGUAAUCGCAGAUCAGCACGCUGCGGUGAAUACGUUCCCGGGCCUUGUACACACCGCCCGUCAAGCCAUGGGAGUUGGGAGUACCCGAAAUCGCCGAUUUAACCUUCGGGGUGACGGCGCCUAAGGUAAGACCAACGACUGGGGCUAAGUCGUAACAAGGUAACCGUA